CCGCUGGCAGCCAUCUUGCUGGAUCCUGUUAAGAAACCUGAACGCUUGCAGAAGGAGCUUUUAUACCUAUGCUGCAGUGCCUCAUGGGAAAUGGGAGAUCCCAAGUGUGGGAGGAUUUUAUUAUUAUUAUUAAACAACUCUACAAUGCAGAAAUAUUUCUAAAUGGUUCAGUUAUUUGGUUAAUGUAAUUCCUGGUUACUGCCUGGUUAAUGUCAUAACAUUGAAGAGUAUAUUUCAGAAAUCACAGAAACAGUUAUGGCUGUGUGAUAGUCUGUUAAAAAUAUAGACUCCCCCACACUUGGUUUCUCCCAUUUCCCAUGAUGCACCAUAGCACAGGUAUAAAAACUCAUUCUGCAAGUGCUUUGGUUUCUUGACAGGAUCCAGCAAGAUGGCUGCCAGUGGAGUUUUUUGCAGCUGAAGGUGUCGGACGUUAGUCUACAGCUGUGUGUCCCUCUGCUGACCGCUGACGCACUCCUUGGACAGAACACGGGAACAAGUCCUUCUCAUCAGACAAGUGUUUGAGAUAAAGCUGAAUGUGGCUAGCUGGACCGGAUUUGUUCUGAGCAGGGAGGCCCUGACUGUGCUGCUGGAUCUUCUGAGAAGUGCCACAAUCCAGACCCUGGUGUUUCUCUUCUGUCUGCUAAGUGGUACAUCAUACAGAGUGGUCUCCAGAGUGUUUGACAUGUGCCUUGUUCCACUGUCACCGCAUUAUCCUCCGAGUCACUGAGGAUGUGCUGGCCAUUCACCUCCUGAAGACCCCAGAACACAUGGAGGCAGGGCUGCGCUCAAACAGAUGUUGUUUUUCUGAUGUUAAUCUUAAGCUAUGUUGUAAAUGGUUGUAAAAAAAAAAGG
ensembl:lncRNA